GUCGAGCGAACAGAAAAGGAGCUUGCUCCUUUGACGUUAGCGGCGGACGGGUGAGUAACACGUGGGCAACCUACCCUAUAGUUUGGGAUAACUCCGGGAAACCGGGGCUAAUACCGAAUAAUCUCUUUUGCUUCAUGGUGAAAGACUGAAAGACGGUUUCGGCUGUCGCUAUAGGAUGGGCCCGCGGCGCAUUAACUAGUUGGUGAGGUAACGGCUCACCAAGGCGACCAUGCGUAGCCCACCUGAGAGGGUGAUCGGCCACACUGGGACUGAGACACGGCCCAGACUCCUACGGGAGGCAGCAGUAGGGAAUCUUCCCCAAUGGGCGAAAGCCUGAUGGAGCAACGCC
rnacentral:rRNA from 1 species